AUUGAACGCUGGCGGCAUGCCUUACACAUGCAAGUCGAACGGCAGCACGGGAGCAAUCCUGGUGGCGAGUGGCGAACGGGUGAGUAAUAUAUCGGAACGUGCCCAGUCGUGGGGAUAACGUAGCGAAAGCUACGCUAAUACCGCAUACGAUCUAUGGAUGAAAGCGGGGGAUCGCAAGACCUCGCGCGACUGGAGCGGCCGAUAUCAGAUUAGGUAGUUGGUGAGGUAAAGGCUCACCAAGCCGACGAUCUGUAGCUGGUCUGAGAGGACGACCAGCCACACUGGGACUGAGACACGGGCCCAGACUCCUACGGGAGGCAGCAGUGGGGAAUUUUGGACAAUGGGCGCAAGCCUGAUCCAGCAAUGCCGCGUGCAGGAUGAAGG
rnacentral:rRNA from 1 species